rnacentral:rRNA from 1 species
UACGGGGGGAGCAAGCGUUGUUCGGAUUUACUGGGCGUAAAGGAUGCGUAGGCGGACAUUUAAGUCAGAUGUGAAAUACCCGAGCUUAACUUGGGUGCUGCAUUUUGAAAACUGGGGUGUCUAGAGUGCAGGAGAGGUAAGUGGAAAUUCCUAGUGUAGCGGUGAAAAUGCGUAGAGAUUAGGAAGAACACCAGUGGCGAAGGCGACUUACUGGACUGUAACUGACGCUGAGGCAUGAAAAGCGUGGGGGAGCAAAACAGG